CUUUUUUUCAAAAUUCCCACCUUCAUUUUACGCAAAGCAAGAACACGAUGAGAUUUCGGACCCCCAUCAACCAGAAUCUUAAAAAAUGGCGGAGAGGGCAGCAGAUUUGAUGGCCGGCGGCGUAGGUACGUAAAACUCAUCGUCAGUCCAAUUCGUUUCCCCCCAAUGUCUCAACAUCCCCUUCCAAGAACAUACAUUGUCUAUGCAUUUCUUCAAUCUCUUGUCUUUUACUUUGAUUCUCCAAUGGCCGUCUGUGUAAUUCCCAAUCUCUGCUUGUAUUCUGUCCCAUUCUAGUUGAGCCUUUUGCUUCGAUCUCAAAAGGCAAAAUUGUUGCAACAGCUCUGGCAUUUGGUCGUGGACCGUCCACCACCGUUGAUGUGCAACAUCACUUGCAAAUUCUUGCAUUAUAUCCACAUUCCAAUUGCAAUCAUAGUCUCUGAAGCACAUCCAUGGUUUUGUUCCCAAAUAGUGAAGAACAUAAAGGAUUGGUGGGUCUGCUCCAAAUAGCCUUGUUUUCAUUUGUUUUGUUUCUUCAUCAUCGCCCAUCCAGAAGUUCUUCAAGAAGUUCAUGUGUUUUGGGAUUCUAUGCCACCAAGUGAAUACCUCGUUUAAGUAUCCUUGGUCCCCUCCAUUGUAGGAUUCGAAUUCGUUUAUGUGUUCCAUUAGAAGUUGGAAGGUACAAUUUGAAGGCUCUAUGAGCAUUACUCCUGAGUUGAAGAGGGUGCCAUUGUUUCCUGUUGCUGAGAUCUCUGGCAUUCCGAAUAAGAAGUCGAUGUUUCGGAAGAUUAGAAGGUCGGCGUCGAUGAAGAUGAUCUUGUCAUAGUCUGUUAGUUGCCAUAGCCUGAACUUGCUGUAGUUCCACUCGUUGUAUGCAUCUUUUUCUGCUUUUGGGUUCCUGAUCCUUUGGAUUAUUCUUAUUUUCCAUCCUGCUGCUUCUAGGCCACUCUUGUGAUAGGAACUGAUUGUCUCGUCGACGAGUAUCACGAGGUCCCUAGUCGACCCUGACAUCCGAAUGCUUUGCGCUGCUGCAAUCGCGCCACAGACAUAAACGUGAGCUGAAUGGAGAAUUGUUGCAUAGGCUUCUCGGAGCAUGUUUCCUGAGUAAGGAACCUCUGUUUUGAAAGAUAACUUAUUAGAGAAGAAAAAGGAUCGUUUUUUAUAAGUAUUAUACUCAGUUUAGCUCAAGUUUCGCUCAAUUCCAUUUGGGGUGAAUGAUUUCUUUACUUCUCAUAAACAAAACUGCAUUUCAUCAUGGGAAAAAUCUUCACAUUAAUUUUUUUGUAAAAGGAUGUGUUUGUAGUGCCAUUGUUAUCUAUCAUAGGACUGACCUUUGCCUUUUAGGGGCAGUGCAAGUUCACAAGAACCAACUGGGAGCUGUAUCUUUUCUCUGAUCACAUUCAAGUUUGGUCGGUACAGCCACACAUUUCCUCGCCGUGCAACAAGAUCCUUGCAUGUAAACAAGUUCGGUAUUGGGAAGCAGUU
rnacentral:lncRNA from 1 species